rnacentral:rRNA from 1 species
CAAUAGCGUAUAUUAAAGUUGUUGCAGUUAAAAAGCUCGUAGUUGGAUUUCGGGGCGGCCCGGCCGGUCCGCCGCGAGGCGAGCACUGGUCGGGCGCCCUUCCUCUCGAAGGCUUCGACUGCUCUUGAUUGCGGGGGUCGAGGAGUUCGGGACGUUUACUUUGAAAAAAUUAGAGUGUUCAAGGCAGGCCGUCGCCUGAAUACAUUAGCAUGGAAUAAUGGAAGAGGACCUCGGUCCUAUUUUGUUGGUUUCCAGGGCCGAAGUAAUGAUUAAGAGGGACAGUUGGGGGCAUUCGUAUUCAAUUGUCAGAGGUGAAAUUCUCGGAUUUAUGGAAGACGAACAAGUGCGAAAGCAUUUGCCAAGGAUGUUUUCAUUAA